CAGGAGAAUUCUACAACCUUCCCUGCAAUACACACAAUCGGAGCGUGAAAACGCAGAACAGCUUUUGUCCCAGAGGACUGCAGAAAAGUGGUGUCUCAGGGACAGCAGAGCUUCCCUCUAUGCAAGGAGAAUAGAGGACCUACUCCUAUAUCAUCGGGUGAAGAGAAGUAAAACAGCUCUUUGGAGAAAAACUCAAUUCUCUGACAACAGCUUAUUACACAUGUAUUCUCAUGGAAGGUUUUUGAACAAGAGACAACUCAAAAUAACAAUAAUGACGAUGAUGCACCAUGGCUGAUAUAUUUGGUGCAUCUUCCAAUUAAAUCACAUAGACAGUGUUUUCCCUGUUUCCUUUAAUGUCUGGUCUUGGAAAAGAAUCACAUAUCUACUUUGGGGUUCUGAAUAUGAGCAAAUAUACUUCCACAUGACUCCUCGAGGGCAGAAUCAACUUGUUUUAGGAGACACAGGUGAAUUCAUAUGAGAUCAAAUAUUUUUGCC
ensembl:lincRNA